UACGUAGGGUGCGAGCGUUGUCCGGAAUUAUUGGGCGUAAAGAGCUCGUAGGCGGUUUGGUAAGUCGGGUGUGAAAUCUCCACGCUCAACGUAGAGGGGCCACUCGAUACUGCCAUGACUCGAGUCCGGUAGAGGAGUGUGGAAUUCCCGGUGUAGCGGUGAAAUGCGCAGAUAUCGGGAGGAACACCCGUAGCGAAGGCGGCACUCUGGGCCGGAACUGACGCUGAGGAGCGAAAGCGUGGGGAGCAAACAGG
rnacentral:rRNA from 1 species